rnacentral:rRNA from 1 species
UACGGAGGGUGCAAGCGUUAUCCGGAUUCACUGGGUUUAAAGGGUGCGUAGGCGGACAGGUAAGUCAGUGGUGAAAUCUCUGGGCUUAACCCGGAAACUGCCAUGGAUACUAUGUGUCUUGAAUGUUGUUGAGGUGAGCGGAAUAUGUCAUGUAGCGGUGAAAUGCUUAGAUAUGACAUAGAACACCAAUUGCGAAGGCAGCUCACUAAGCAAAUAUUGACGCUGAGGCACGAAAGCGUGGGGAUCAAACAGG